rnacentral:rRNA from 1 species
UGGGGAAUUUUGGACAAUGGGCGAAAGCCUGAUCCAGCGACGCCGCGUGGAGGAUGAAGGUCUUCGGAUUGUAAACUCCUUUUAGAGGGAACGAAAUAAUGACGGUACUCUCAGAAAAAGCCACGGCUAACUACGUGCCAGCAGCCGCGGUAAUACGUAGGUGGCUAGCGUUACUCGGAUUUACUAGGUGUAAAGCGCAUGUAGGCGGUUGGAUAAGUCUGCGGUGAAAUUUCCCGGCUCAACUGGGAAGGGCCCGUAGAAACUGUCCGGCUUGAGUGUGGGAGGGGUGGACGGAAUUCCAGGUGUAGCGGUGAAAUGCGUAGAUAUCUGGAGGAACACCGAUGGCGAAAGCGGUCCACUGGCCCAAUACUGACGCUCAGAUGCGAAAGCUAGGGUAGCAAACAGG